rnacentral:rRNA from 1 species
GAUGAACGCUGGCGGCGUGCCUAAUACAUGCAAGUCGAGCGAACAGACGAGGAGCUUGCUCCUCUGACGUUAGCGGCGGACGGGUGAGUAACACGUGGAUAACCUACCUAUAAGACUGGGAUAACUUCGGGAAACCGGAGCUAAUACCGGAUAAUAUAUUGAACCGCAUGGUUCAAUAGUGAAAGACGGUUUUGCUGUCACUUAUAGAUGGAUCCGCGCCGCAUUAGCUAGUUGGUAAGGUAACGGCUUACCAAGGCGACGAUGCGUAGCCGACCUGAGAGGGUGAUCGGCCACACUGGAACUGAGACGCGGUCCAGACUCCUACGGGAGGCAGCAGUAGGGAAUCUUGCGCAAUGGGCGAAAGCUUGACGGAGCAACGCCGCGUGAGUGAUGAAGGUCUUCGGAUCGUAAAACUCUGUUAUUAGGGAAGAACAAAUGUGUAAGUAACUAUGCACGUCUUGACGGUACCUAAUCAGAAAGCCACGGCUAACUACGU